rnacentral:misc_RNA from 1 species
GCGGCCCGUGGAGAGCUUCGUGUCGUAGUACGGAUCGGCGGCGCCGCCGUUCUUCUUGGCGGCAAGUGCAGCUUUCGCCUGCAGCGCCCACAUAUAGGUAAGCGCAGUGACGCCGAAGAGAUUGAGGAAAUCGUGCGACGCAGCGCCGGCAUUGUCGAAAUUGGUCAUGCCGUUCUGCAUCAGCCACAUCGUGCCGUCUUGCAGCUGCGCCUUUGUCGUUUUCAGCGCG